UGUAAAAGUUAGAUAUGGGCACACAUGAUUACAUUUUUUCCCAUUUUGGUCCAAAGGGACUGCCUGCUGCCCUUCAAAAACCACUGGAGGACCCCUGACAGGCCAUAGGAACCAUCGGCCCUCCAUAAAGAAUGCGGGGCCUCUUUGGGGUUUUGACCUGAGCAUCAGUCAUCUUCAGGGCUUUGGCAAGGGCGGCCCGCUCAGCAGACGCAAGGUACUUCUGCCGGUGGAACCGUUUCUCCAGCUCACAGAUCUGCAGCCGGGUGAAGGACGUCCGAGGCUUCUUCUUCUUAGGAGGCGUCCGGUUCUGAUCAUCUGAGUGACAUGGUGAAGCUCACGUUUGAUGAGAUGUUCCUGGACCCAUCACAUUCUACUCAGUCUGAAAACUCAGGAUGAUAUUACUGGGCAGAUGUCAUGCUUCAGUUAAGCACCUGAAGUGAAGACAACACAGUGGCCAGCAGCAGCAGAAAGUCUUUGUAUCCACAGGAAGACGCCUCAGGAUCACCACUGUGAUCUCAGAG